rnacentral:misc_RNA from 1 species
GUAGGUGAACCUGCGGAUGGAUCAUUAACGAGAAUCUAGACCUAGUCUAGUAUAACAUCGUUAUACCCUUGUGGUUAAAUAGGAAUUUAGUUGAUUGUGAAGUGAUUAGUAUUAGUGAGAGGUGUUAAAGCCGAUUACUAGUAUGAGUCGUCACGAUCCUCUUAUCUACUAUAACAAACAAUAUUAUUACAUCUUUACUGAAGUAACCUUGUGAAAAGAUAUUUAUUUAUCAAUUACCAAGUAAAACAAUAAUAAUCUAUACAACUGCUAACAACGGAUCACUCGGCUCUC